GCCUCGGGGGGCAGCAGUGGGGGAUAUUGCGCAAUGGGGGAAACCCUGAUGCAGCGACGCCGCGUGGGUGAAGAAGCGCCUCGGCGCGUAAAGCCCUGUCAGCAGGGAAGAAAAUGACGGUACCUGAAGAAGAAGCCCCGGCUAACUACGUGCCAGCAGCCGCGGUAAUACGUAGGGGGCAAGCGUUAUCCGGAUUUACUGGGUGUAAAGGGGGCGCAGACGGCGAUGCAAGCCAGGAGUGAAAGCCCGGGGCCCAACCCCGGGACUGCUCUUGGAACUGCGUGGCUAGAGUGCAGGAGGGGCAG
rnacentral:rRNA from 1 species